rnacentral:rRNA from 1 species
GACUCUGUUAAACCUAAAGGCGCAAUGAAAGUAAAGGUCCGCCUCGCGCGGACCGAGGGAGGAUGGGUCCGUCCCCGGACGGGCCCCGCACUCCCGGGGCGUCUCGUCCUCAUCGCGAGGAGAGGCGCACCCAGAGCGUACACGCUGGGACCCGAAAGAUGGUGAACUAUGCCUGGUCAGGACGAAGUCAGGGGAAACCCUGAUGGAGGUCCGUAGCGAUUCUGACGUGCAAAUCGAUCGUCGGAACUGGGUAUAGG